GCCAGGCGCAGUGGCGCAUGCCUGUAGUCCCAGCUACUCGGGAGGCUGAGGUGGGAGGAUCACCUGAGCCCAGGAGUUCUGGGCUGUAGUGUGCUACGCCGAUCAGGUGUCUGCGCUAAUUUCAGCAUCGACAUGGUGACUUCCUGAGAGCAGGAGACCACCAGGUUGCCUAAGGAGGGGAGAACCGGCCUAGGUCAGAAAUGGAGCAGGUCGAAACUCCUGUGCCAAUCAGUAGUGGGAUCACGCCUGUGAAGAGCCACUGCACCCCAGCCUGGGGUAACAUAGCAAGACCCUAUCUCU
rnacentral:SRP_RNA from 1 species